rnacentral:rRNA from 1 species
AUUGAACGCUGGCGGCAGGCCUAACACAUGCAAGUCGAGCGGAUGAAGGGAGCUUGCUCCUGGAUUCAGCGGCGGACGGGUGAGUAAUGCCUAGGAAUCUGCCUGGUAGUGGGGGAUAACGUCCGGAAACGGGCGCUAAUACCGCAUACGUCCUGAGGGAGAAAGUGGGGGAUCUUCGGACCUUACGCUAUCAGAUGAGCCUAGGUCGGAUUAGCUAGUUGGUGGGGUAAAGGCCUACCAAGGCGACGAUCCGUAACUGGUCUGAGAGGAUGAUCAGUCACACUGGAACUGAGACACGGUCCAGACUCCUACGGGAGGCAGCAGUGGGGAAUAUUGGACAAUGGGCGAAAGCCUGAUCCAGCCAUGCCGCGUGUGUGAAGAAGGUCUUCGGAUUGUAAAGCACUUUAAGUUGGGAGGAAGGGCAGUAAGUUAAUACCUUGCUGUUUUGGCGUUACCAACAGAAUAAGCACCGGCUAACUUCGUG